CCGGCACCGCUCUGAAGCCGCCCCGCUCGGGACCUCUGCUGCCCACUCCUCGGAUACUGCUCCCCUUCUGCCCAGGGGGGCCUCCCCGCCCCCACUGCAGGCACCCUGGGGAAAAGGCUGAGACGCGUCCCAGGGACACAGCUGGACCCGUCACUCCCAGACAGCAGUCUCCACUCUUGCCUCUCCGGGCUCCCCGCCCAAUUGUCAGCCAGCCUGCCUUCCGCCUGUGCUGCUCCUGCUGCACCCACCUUGUCCCCGCACGUCUGCACAGCCACUGCGAUGACACCCCGGGGGCCGGGCCCGCUCUCGUGCUGGCCACAGAGGGAAGGACACAAGGACCACCCUUGUUGCCUGGCACCGUGGACACAGCUGGGUGAAGCGGGAGCGUGGGCUGGGGGUAAGUCUGCGCUGGGUUUGAACCUCAGGUCUCCUGUUCAGAAUGAAGAGGGUGCCAGCGAACUGUGCACAAUUCCACACACAUUCUGCUUCGGCCGUUGUCUCUGCAUCAUUCAUCAGGCUGAAAACGAUCUCUACACUGGCAUUUGGGAGAGCAGUCGGUGGCCCAAACCAAGUACACCAGCAGUCAGCUCAAAAGAAACAGCCUGAAGCGUGUGGUGUAAAUGGAACGCGUGGUGUGGGCGUCCAUAUCACAGAGCCCUUCUCAAACUUGGGGGUGCCUCACGUCAGCUGGAGGUUCGUGGAAUUGCAGGGGCUGGGCCACCCCUGCAGCUGGUGACUCAGUAGGCCUGAGGUGGGCCUGCCGGUUUGCAUUUCCAGCAAACUUCCACUGAAUGCUGAUGCUGUGGUUGGGGACCACAUCACCCUCACAGCAACUGCGCUGCUCUAUUUAUAAACCCCAUCCUGUCGAUAAUUUUAA